UACGUAGGGUGCAAGCGUUGUCCGGAAUUAUUGGGCGUAAAGAGCUCGUAGGCGGUCUGUCGCGUCGGCUGUGAAAACCCGGAGCUCAACUCCGGGCCUGCAGUCGAUACGGGCAAACUGGAGUGUUGCAGGGGAGACUGGAAUUCCUGGUGUAGCGGUGAAAUGCGCAGAUAUCAGGAGGAACACCGGUGGCGAAGGCGGGUUGCUGGGCUGACACUGACGCUGAGGAGCGAAAGCGUGGGGAGCGAACAGG
rnacentral:rRNA from 1 species